rnacentral:lncRNA from 1 species
CGUUCCAUUUCAAAACUCAACUCAUAAAUCAACCCUAAGAAGUUCAAAAGUAAUAAUGAACAUUUGCUAAUAAGAUGUUAGAUUUUUUUAUUACAUUUUUUAUGUUAUUUUUUCCCUGUACUAUAAACAAAAUGAAGAAAAUGUAUCACAAGGGAUGCUAUACUCCUUCUAUUCCGUGUUUUAUUUUUCUCUAUAAUAAAAAUCAAUCAAUGUUAAGGAUGUUGAAAAAUAAUAAUUGUAGAUAAUCACAUCUCCCUUGUUAGGAGUUGAAUUAAAAUAUAAUACACCAUACUUUUUAUAUGGUUUUUUGUUCUAUUUAUAGCAUCAUUUCAAAGUUUUGUAUACAACAAAUACUUUUGUUUUC